UACGUAGGAUGCAAGCGUUGUCCGGAUUUACUGGGCGUAAAGCGCACGUAGGCGGCUUUGUAAGUUAGAGGUGAAAGCCCAGGGCUUAACCCUGGAAUUGCCUUUAAGACUGCAUCGCUAGAAUCGUGGAGAGGUGAGUGGAAUUCCGAGUGUAGAGGUGAAAUUCGUAGAUAUUCGGAAGAACACCAGUGGCGAAGGCGACUCACUGGACACGUAUUGACGCUGAGGUGCGAAAGCGUGGGGAGCAAACAGG
rnacentral:rRNA from 1 species